GGGAGCAGCUCCCUCAAUCACUCGCUAUUAUUCCAAAACAAAAAUACUAAAGAGACAUUUCAUUGUUCAACUGGGAUCAGGAAGGAAAAAAACAUCAAGUUCUUGCAAUCAGGCAAGAGAAUACCAUGCACAGGGUGACGUACAGAAUAAUGUAGAAAGUGUGUCAAAUAGUAAAGGUAGUAUGAGUCUACCUUAGAGACUAUGUUUAAAAUGCAACCAGCCUAAUCUACACAUACACAGGCGCCACUUGGAGCUACCAAAGUAUGGGAGCAAUAAUAAUCAUUCGCACACUUUCUGAUUACUUGUACCUACAAAGUGCUGGGCUAUCAACUCAUUCAUGGGAAGACGUGCAGAAAGUGCUUGAAGAAGUAGAAUAUUACCAAAUCAAUCCACUUGAGCUUGGAACUUUUCUUCGGUCAGUGUUGGCCAAAAAAUUUGCUUGGCUGUAUUCCCCGCUUGUAUUCCACAAGUUGAACGUUUCUUCAGCUAGCCACUUGAAUUCAACAAGUUGCAGGAUUAUCACACUGAAUUCAACAAGUUGCAGCCACUGCCUCAUAUUCCCUCGGACACAGGGCUUCCAACAAUACUUGGUGUCCAGGAUUUGUAUUAACCCCGAUUCCAACACUGAAACCUUUAUUACUAAAAUAAAGUCAAUACAAAUUCAGCAUGGAAUUUUCCCAAGGAUAGUUGCAUUGCCGCCCCACCACUUGAGCUAAUCUUUUGUUCUGUGUACCAGCUGAAAAGCAAGGAGGGAAACAUUUAAGAGAAUAGCUUAAGACAUAACUGAAGCAGUUACAGAUUACAUCAUCAAACAAACAAGAAAUACUAUCAAACCAACCAGAGGAGCUACCAUCAGAUAAAAACUCUGCCGCAAUGUUAACUCAAAAGUCCAUUUAGUGCAUAAGUUGUAGACGGAGAAGAAUUCAGAAGGAUAUGAGUAGGCGUACGCUGUGGGUACCCUUCUAUCCCUGCUUUCAAUUGCUUUCAAGGAGUAAUUACUCUGUCAUAUUUCCACAGGCAUGAGGAAAGAAAAUAGAGUAAGAGAUGGCGACGCUGAAGGAAAAAUAGGCAGUCCAACAGUAGCUGCCAAAGGAAAGAAAAAUGGGACAGAGAUGGUGACAGAUACUGAAGAAUAUCAUCCAGCAGCAGCUUCCACUCAACUGCUGUGUGUUGACUGACUGAGGACCUCAUGACAAUGUACGAGACAUUCCUUAAAUACUCAUCAAUGGUUUCCAUGGAAUCACAUCCUCCAACCAAUACACAACACACAGACACUAGGCAGCAAGAUGCCAUCUUUCUCAACACCAUUGUUGUACCUCUGCCUACUGCUGGUGCCGUGCCUUCUUCUCUUGCAAGAAGCACACGCGGCGCGCCAUGGAGGGAUCUCACUGAGGUCCCAACACAUGGCCCUCCUCCACUGGAAAGCUACACUUGCGAGCCCACCACCGCAGAUGAACUCUUGACAGGAAAACACCAGCCCGUGCAAUUGGACGGGCAUCAUGUGCACGGCUGUUCGCCAUGGCCGCCGCAUGCCCUGGGUGGUGACCAACAUUUCCCUGCCGGAUGCUGGCAUCCAUGGCCAGCUUGGUGAGCUCAACUUCUCGGCUCUUCCAUUCCUUGAAUAUAUUGACCUCAGUAACAACAGUAUCCAUGGUGCACUACCUGCUAGUAUUAGCUCCCUGUCAGCACUUUCAGUACUUGGCCUUCGGCAGAACCAGCACACAGGGAAAAUCCCACAUGAGAUUGGAGACCUGCAAAGUCUUAGGGUGCUUGAACUCUCAUUUAACAGAUUCACAGGACAGAUCCCUGCAUCUCUAGGCAACCUAACAAUGUUAACUAAUCUCAUCAUUGACCAAACCAUGGUAUCAGGUCCCAUUCCUGAGGAGAUUGGAAGGCUUGUCAACCUACAAAUCCUACAGCUAACCAACAGCACCUUAAGCGGUCUGAUACCAAAAACCCUUGGAAAUCUGACCCAACUAAAUACUUUGUACCUGUUUUAUAAUCAACUUUCAGGGCCUAUACCGAAAGAACUAGGCAGGUUAAUCCAUUUGCAAAGUCUUAAGCUUAGUUUAAAUGAUUUUUCAGGUCCAAUUCCUAUAACCAUAACCAAUCUGACUAAGUUGAACCAACUUUUCCUCUCUGAAAAUCAAAUCACAGGUUCCAUCCCCCCGAAAAUAGGAAAUCUCAAUAUGUUAAACAAUCUUGAUCUAAUGAAAAAUCAAAUAACAGGUUCAAUACCCCGAGAACUUAGCAACCUCACUAUGUUAAAUAAACUUUAUCUCUACAAAAAUCAAAUCACUGGUUCAAUACCUGUAGAACUGGGCAUCUUGCCAAAUCUACAAGAAUUAGACUUUUCGUACAACCAAAUAUCUGGCUUUAUUCCUGGCAGCUUAGGAAAUAUAACCAAGCUGGUAGUACUUUCCCUUGAUGUAAAUCAGAUAACCGGUUCCAUUCCCCAAGAGAUUGGCAAUCUGAUGAGCCUCGAACUAUUAGGCUUGUAUCAGAACCAUAUUUCAGGAUCAAUACCAAAAACCUUUGGGAAGUUGCAAAGCAUCCAAGAACUACAAAUCUAUGAUAACAAAUUAUCAGGUUCUCUUCCUCGAGAAUUCGGAGAUCUCGUAAACCUUGUUCGACUUGGGCUAUCUAGAAACUCACUUUCAGGACCUUUACCCGCAAAUAUAUGCUCAGGUGGUAGACUAGAACAAAUAGUUGUCUUCUCUAAUAUGUUCAAUGGCCCUAUUCCAAGUAGUUUAAAGAAAUGUACAAGUUUGGUUCGAAUUGACCUUCAGUCGAACCAACUAACAGGAGAUAUAUCUCAGCAUUUUGGUGUCUAUCCACAACUCACAAGGAUGGCCUUGUCAUCAAAUAGACUCUCUGGGCAGAUCUCCCAAAAUCUAGGUGCAUGUAGCCAACUGAUGGUACUACGUCUAGCACAAAAUAUGAUCACGGGUUUCAUACCUCCUAUCCUUUCUAAAUUAUCCAAGCUGGAAGAACUAAGACUUGAUUAUAAUCAUCUCAGAGGUGAGAUUCCACCAGAAAUUUGCAGUUUAACAAAUCUCUAUAGACUAAACUUAUCAUCGAACCAAUUAUCUGGAUCCAUACCUGCACAGAUAGAAAAGCUAGGAAAUCUAGGAUACCUUGAUAUAUCUAGGAAUAGACUGAGUGGAUUAAUACCUGAGGAACUAGCGACUUGCAUCAUACUAUUGUCCUUGAAGAUCAACAACAAUAACUUCAGUGGGAGUUUGCCUGGUGCAAUUGGAAAUUUGAUAGGCCUGCAAAUCACGUUAGACGUGAGCAACAAUAACCUAAGUGGUGUGUUGCCGCAACAACUUGGGAAGUUGCAGAUGCUAGAAUUUCUGAAUCUAUCACAUAAUCAGUUCGGUGGCACCAUUCCAUCCUCCUUUGCAAGCAUGGUGAGCCUUUCAACGCUUGACGUGUCAUACAAUGACUUGGAAGGACCAGUCCCAACACUCAGGCAACUCCAAAAUGCUUCAGCAAAUUGGUUUCUUCCCAAUAAAGGUCUGUGUGGUAACCUCUCUGGCCUACAACUUUGUGAUUCAACUCCAGUUCCAGCCGGUCACCACAAACGGAAGAUACUUGGUUUGCUUUUGCCAAUUGUUCUUGUGGUGGGUUUUGGCAUUUUUUCUGCAACUGUUGUCAUAAUAGUGCUUAGUCGUAACAAGACAAAACCACAAGAAGUUGUUACUGCUGAAGGAAGGGACCUAUUCUCUGUUUGGAAUUUCGACGGAAGAUUAGCAUUUGACGAUAUCGUAAGGGCAACGGAAGACUUUGAUGAUAAGUACAUCAUUGGAACAGGAGGAUACGGCAAUGUCUACAAGGCACAACUCCAAGACAGUCAGCUAGUUGCUGUGAAGAAGCUUCAUCAGACAGAAGAAGAGUUGGAUGACGAAAGAAGGUUUCGCAGUGAAAUGGAAAUCUUAUUACAGAUCCGCCAACGAAGCAUUGUCAAAAUGUAUGGAUUCUGCUCCCAUUCAGCGUAUAAAUUUCUUGUCUACGACUACAUUCCGCAAGGAAGCCUCCACCGGACGUUGGAAAAUGAGGAGCUAGCAAAGGAAUUGGAUUGGCAGAAGAGAAUUGUUGCUGUAAAUGAUGUGGCUCAAGCAGUAUCUUAUUUGCACCACGAAUGCAGUCCACCUAUAAUCCAUCGAGAUAUAACGAGCAACAACAUCUUACUUGAUGCAACCUUCAAGGCUUUCGUCUCAGAUUUCGGCACAGCAAGGAUUCUUAAGCCUGAUUCAUCAAACUGGAGUGCACUAGCAGGGACGUAUGGGUACAUAGCUCCUGGUAUGUACUAGUAUAACCUUCCUUCUCAGAUCUGAAGCAUUUAUCUCUAUCUAUUUGUUCCUAGCUCUAAUGUUUUGAUUCUGUGCAGAACUCUCGUGCACAUCUGUUGUGACGGAGAAAUGUGAUGUCUAUAGCUUCGGUGUGGUUGUGCUAGAGCUAGUGAUGGGGAAGCAUCCAAGGGAUCUAUUAGACGGUAGUUUGUUGAGCGGGGAACAAGCUAUGCUAGUAAAAGAUAUUCUAGACCAACGGCCGACAACACCAACAACAACAGAAGAGAAUAGCUUAGCUCUCCUCAUCAAGAUGGCCUUUUCUUGCUUGGAAUCCUCUCCACAAGCAAGGCCAACCAUGCGAGAGGCAUACCAAACACUCAUCCAGCGACCCACUUCCAGUUCCUACCCCGUGCCUUUCAGCGCACUUACAUUACAGCAAGGGAGUGAUGCAUGUUGAUAUAUGAUCUGAAUUCUAGUGAGAAGCCAAGGUCUAUCAUUGUGGAAGCCGAUUUAGGUUUAUGUUUUGCCUCAAGUCACUCAUAUACCAUCUAUAUAUGUAAAAGUCUGUAAUCAUCUCAUGUCGUCUCGUAGAUUUUAUUUCUAGCAAAAACAAUAACCGAUCCAUGCAGCAUGAGCCUGAUCACGACAUGGCCAGAUCAGUAGUUGCAUGCUAUUACGAUCGCCUCGUGGGAUGGCACGAGUACCGGCUGUAGCGGCUUAGAGCUUGAGGCAUGAUCAAGGGACGUGGGAUGGCAUGUCCGUGAAGCUUGGUCAUGGCGCAAGAUUAGGAUCUUUAUGUUAGCUAUUAGUUGAGCUAAUGAGCUGUUUAAAUAAAGAGGAGAACAAAGCAGAAAAGCUGCAACGGUUUACGCAACGCAAACAUCCUGAGUGUCCACUGAUUCUUCUCCCUCCCUAUGCCUCAGGAUGAGUUCAUGACUCGUUGUAAGUGGUCGAUGCGUAAACAUGAAAAAAUAAAUAUAAACACACGAAGCUAGGUGCAUAAAAAAGGAAAAUUACCAUAGGACUAAGCAAUAGAACUUAUGUGGGGCUGUAUGGCAAGAGUAUGAACUCCUUAUCCUUACGAUGGAGCAUUGUAUCCAGGAGUAUGUAGUCCUCGUCCUUCAGAUGCAACAACAAAUAAUUUACUACUACACUAAAUUUCAAACAUUGAUUGGCGAGAUUGAAAUGGAACAGAGAUACAACCUUAUUUUUUAUUCAUGCCUAAUAAAAGCUUAACAAAGGAUGAGAUGAUAUGAUAUGCAAAGUCCCAGAUGACAGACAACAGUGAGAGCUAAGCUACUGCAAUCAUAGACAUGAAGAGUCUGGUAUGAACAUAUCCCAUAAUCUUUUUACCAAGAAAGUAGGUACCGAUUCACCUAAAAAUUCAACUCACCUAGUGUAAUCACAGACAUACUAAGAACAAGAUGUACAACCGUACAGAGAACAGCUCCAUUUACCAUUCUUCAACGACUGGCAGUAAUAUAUGAGGAAAAAUACAACGAAUUUGUCCAUGCACAAACAAAGCACUGCAGGCAGUCCUAGUUCAUCCUCCUGCACAAGAAUUAUGAAAGCAGGUAUGGAUUCAGAUGAGAUUAUCUUCAAUCCUGACAAUCUUCAUCAUACCUUUCAGCUCUUUAUUGGCGGCCUUCAUUGGCUCAUUGCAGUCAUCUGUUAAAUGAAAGACACUUCAACAUAAAUCUGGGAGCUAGGUAUCAGAAUCUACCAACCAAGGACCCUAUAUGAAACUAAGGCAACAUACAGUCUGUUGAGGAUCAUUCAUUCUCUCUGAUGCGAAAGAAACUUGGUCAAGAUUGUAUAUUUUGCUGUACAGCAUGUCACACUGCCGUCCAUACCAGUAGAAAAGCAUGUGGAGUAUAGAGAUUAGAGCACUAGAACCAGACAAAUAGGCUGCUGCCGCAGAAAAGAAUGAUUAAAUGCUACAGGAUAACCAACUAGAUAAAUUUAACUAAGGCCAGGAGCAUGGAGCAACAAUAGCAUUCACAAUUCUAUCUUGUCCAUGUCAAGAAGUUGCUAGCCUUCCAUAUCAGCAGUCUCUAUAACAAGUAAGCUAAGCAGAUAAGAACACAACCUUUACCUAACAGGAACUUCUGAAAGUGUACAAAAAAGACCUAUUGUACAGAAUAAGAAGAGAAAAUAAUCCAAAGGUGUAUGAAAGCACUUGGGCUAGAUUCAGGAUUCAGCAAUACCUUCUCAGCAAGCCUUUUAGAUGGGUG
rnacentral:lncRNA from 1 species